rnacentral:sRNA from 1 species
AGAUAAGAUGAUGAUUUAUCGGAUUCUUAUUUUAGCGGCGGACGGGUGAGUAACGCGUGAGAAACCUGCCUUACAGAGGGGGAUAACACAUCGAAAGAUGUGCUAAUACCGCAUGAAAUCAUGAUACCGCAUGGUAAUAUGAUCAAAGGAGCAAUCCGCUGUAAGAUGGUCUCGCGUCUGAUUAGCUAGUUGGUGAGGUAAUAGCUCACCAAGGCGACGAUCAGUAGCCGACCUGAGAGGGUGAUCGGCCACAUUGGGACUGAGACACGGCCCAGACUCCUACGGGAGGCAGCAGUGGGACUCCUACGGGAGGCAGCAGUGGGACUCCUACGGGAGGCAGCAGUGGG